GUGACGCUUAUGAUGCCAAUACCACGUGAUUUGUAGCCUUCGCGAAAGCUUCCGCUGGAAAAGUAGAGCGUUGAUUUUCCUCGAGUUUCAUCACAAGCAAUAUGAACACAGGUCCACUCCACGGUACGCCACACAUUCGAUCCGGUAUUUGCCGAAAACUUCAUUUCUGUAUGGUGUGUGGGAAAGCUUACUGUCGGAAGAUAGAGCUCGACAUGCAUCUAUUUUGUCACUCCACUCCACUCCAAUCACCGGAAAACCCCUGGCGCUGCCAGGUGGCAGAUCUGAUGGCACAAUGUCCCUGCUGCUUGAAAGGAUUUUGCAGACGACAGGAUCUGGUGUUCCAUAUGGAUAAUGAAAAGAAUUGCAUGAAAGUUGGAAUGUUUUCCACGAAUAACAUCACAGCAAACCCGGACCACGAUACAGUAUUGAACUCUGAAAAUAUUAUGGACCUAGAGGUCAGUCAAGUGAAAGAAACGGAAGAAGCUUCGGAAUGUUGGAGAAGGAGUGAGCAUGGCACAAAAAAAUUAGACAGACAAUAUGCCAUAGUGAGAAGGUUUCUAGAAGCAGAGAAACGACAAUCAUUUGCGGAAAUGGAGAGUGAUGAAAUUUGUAACACGAAUGGUAAAACCUUACGCAGACAGAGUCGCCCAGAAGUGAUGCGGAAAAUGUAGAAAUGGAAACUCAGACACCUACAGUACAAACAGUGAGUCAGGGUGUUUAAUUCUGAAACUAAGUUUUGUCUAUUCCAUGCCAGAAUUCAGGACUGUUCAAGACUUUGAGGUUGUCAGUUUUGUCACAAUUUGUUUCCGCAGUUGUCGAAACUGAACUGCCACAAACGACCGGCAGUCAAUACUUACGAAGAACCCCAGACAUGUUUUCGGUAUUAAAAAGUUUCUAACAA